rnacentral:tRNA from 1 species
UGGCGGCGUAGCUCAGCUGGCUAGAGCGUACGGUUCAUACCCGUAAGGUCGGGGGUUCGAUCCCCUCUGCCGCCAU